CUCCCAGACUCCUACGGGAGGCAGCAGUGAGGAAUAUUGGUCAAUGGCCGAGAGGCUGAACCAGCCAAGUCGCGUGAGGGAUGACGGCCCUACGGGCUGUAAACCUCUUUUGUCGGGGAGCAAAGAGAGUCACGUGUGGCUCAUUGAGAGUACCCGAAGAAAAAGCAUCGGCUAACUCCGUGCCAGCAGCCGCGGUAAUACGUAGGUGGCAAGCGUUAUCCGGAUUUACUGGGUGUAAAGGGCGUGUAGGCGGGAAAGCAAGUCAGAUGUGAAAACCAUGGGCUCAACCUGUGGCCUGCAUUUGAAACUGUUUUUCUUGAGUACUGGAGAGGCAGACGGAAUUCCUAGUGUAGCGGUGAAAUGCGUAGAUAUUAGGAGGAACACCAGUGGCGAAGGCGGUCUGCUGGACAGCAACUGACGCUGAGGCGCGAAAGCGUGGGGAGCAAACAGGAUUAGAUACCCCAGUA
rnacentral:rRNA from 1 species